AUUGAACGCUGGCGGCAGGCCUAACACAUGCAAGUCGAGCGGAGCGGCGGACGGGUGAGUAAUGCCUAGGAAUCUGCCUGGUAGUGGGGGAUAACGUCCGGAAACGGACGCUAAUACCGCAUACUAUCAGAUGAGCCUAGGUCGGCUUAGCUAGUUGGUGGGGUAAUGGCUCACCAAGGCGACGAUCCGUAACUGGUCUGAGAGGAUGAUCAGCCAGACUGGAACUGAGACACGGGCCAGACUCCUACGGGAGGCAGCAGUGGGGAAUAUUGCACAAUGGGCGCAAGCCUGAUGCAGCCAUGCCGCGUGUAUGAAGAAGGCCUUCGGGUUGUAAAGUACUUUCAGCGGGGAGGCGUUACCCGCAGAAGAAGCACCGGCUAACUCCGUGCCAGCAGCCGCGGUAAUUC
rnacentral:rRNA from 1 species